rnacentral:rRNA from 1 species
UACGUAGGCAGCAAGCGUUGUUCGGAGUUACUGGGCGUAAAGGGUGCGUAGGCGGUCCUAUAAGUAUGGUGUGAAAUCUCCCGGCUUAACUGGGAGGGUGCGCUAUAGACUGUGGGACUAGAGUGUGGGAGAGGAAAGUGGAAUUCCUGGUGUAGCGGUGAAAUGCGUAGAUAUCAGGAGGAACACCUGUGGCGAAAGCGGCUCACUGGACCAUAACUGACGCUGAUGCACGAAAGCUAGGGGAGCAAACAGG